rnacentral:misc_RNA from 1 species
GAAGAGAGUGGCGGCCGUGAUGGCCGGCUACCGGACCUGUGUCAUGAGAUGAGGGGGAACCGAGGACGGCGCGGUUGGAUGGCUGCGCGGUUGGAGGGCCCCUGGAGUAACUUCCCGGGAGGAGUUGUGGCGGCUCCGCGGGUCCAGCAGUUUGGGCGUGCGGAGGCGGAUGCGACCGCCCGGGGUUUUUGUUAGAACGCUUGUUGGCAAGGUGAGGUCUGAGAUGCGAAUUGGAAAUAACCAAAAAGCA